rnacentral:rRNA from 1 species
UACAGAGGGGGCAAGCGUUAUUCGGAAUUAUUGGGCGUAAAGGGCGCGUAGGCGGCCUGGCAAGUGGAAGGUGAAAUCCCUCGGCUUAACCGAGGAACUGCCCUCCAAACUGCUUGGCUUGAGUCCGGGAGAGGUGAGUGGAAUUCCCAGUGUAGCGGUGAAAUGCGUAGAUAUUGGGAGGAACACCGGUGGCGAAGGCGGCUACCUGGACCGGUACUGACGCUGAGGCGCGAAAGCUAGGGUAGCAAACAGG